GACGUAGGGCGCGAGCGUUGUCCGGAUUUAUUGGGCGUAAAGAGCUCGUAGGCGGCUUGUUGCGUCGGCUGUGAAAAACCCAUGGCUUAACCGUGGGCUUGCAGCCGAUACGGGCAGGCUAGAGUUCGGUAGGGGGAGACUGGAAUUCCUGGUGUAGCGGUGAAAUGCGCAGAUAUCAGGAGGAACACCGGUGGCGAAGGCGGGUCUCUGGGCCGAUACUGACGCUGAGGAGCGAAAGCGUGGGGAGCGAACAGG
rnacentral:rRNA from 1 species